AGGAUGAACGCUGGCGGCGUGCCUAAUACAUGCAAGUCGAGCGAACAGAUAAGGAGCUUGCUCCUUUGAAGUUAGCGGCGGACGGGUGAGUAACACGUGGGUAACCUACCUAUAAGACUGGGAUAACUUCGGGAAACCGGAGCUAAUACCGGAUAACAUUUAGAACCGCAUGGUUCUAAAGUGAAAGAUGGUUUUGCUAUCACUUAUAGAUGGACCCGCGCCGUAUUAGCUAGUUGGUAAGGUAACGGCUUACCAAGGCGACGAUACGUAGCCGACCUGAGAGGGUGAUCGGCCACACUGGAACUGAGACACGGUCCAGACUCCUACGGGAGGCAGCAGUAGGGAAUCUUCCGCAAUGGGCGAAAGCCUGACGGAGCAACGCCGCGUGAGUGAUGAAGGGUUUCGGCUCGUAAAACUCUGUUAUUAGGGAAGAACAAAUGUGUAAGUAACUGUGCACAUCUUGACGGUACCUAAUCAGAAAGCCACGGCUAACUACGUGCCAGCAGCCGCGGUAAUACGUAGGUGGCAAGCGUUAUCCGGAAUUAUUGGGCGUAAAGCGCGCGUAGGCGGUUUCUUAAGUCUGAUGUGAAAGCCCACGGCUCAACCGUGGAGGGUCAUUGGAAACUGGGAAACUUGAGUGCAGAAGAGGAAAGUGGAAUUCCAUGUGUAGCGGUGAAAUGCGCAGAGAUAUGGAGGAACACCAGUGGCGAAGGCGACUUUCUGGUCUGUAACUGACGCUGAUGUGCGAAAGCGUGGGGAUCAAACAGGAUUAGAUACCCUGGUAGUCCACGCCGUAAACGAUGAGUGCUAAGUGUUAGGGGGUUUCCGCCCCUUAGUGCUGCAGCUAACGCAUUAAGCACUCCGCCUGGGGAGUACGACCGCAAGGUUGAAACUCAAAGGAAUUGACGGG
rnacentral:rRNA from 1 species